AAUUCAGAGUUCAGAGCAAUUGAAAUACAAAAGGCACUAGUUAGAGCAGAUUUAGAAGCUGUACCUGUCCCUUUCUUCCCCUGAAGAGACACUAGACACUUGUUGAACUAGAAGAAAAUGAUUUAUUAGCAUUUUUAGAUUUAAAAACUGCUGUAUAUAUUGUCUCUUCUACAUAUGCAAGUUUGGAUGGAAGAGAACUGAUAAUGCAUACCAUAUCUGCCAAAAGCUAUUAGAAACAAAUGUGGUCUUAGAAUUAGUUGCUGUCUGCAUGAAAAAGGGAGAUGGUGAGCCUAAGUGAAAACAUUUCACUCCUUGAGCUAGGAUAGGUGGACAAAGUUAUUUCCGUUUUAGGGGCAACAUGAGGUUUUGCCACUUUCUUACGUUCCAGUUAAAACCAAAAACAUGUCAGAAUUGCCUGGUGAAGGGAUUUACAGCUCUGCCAAGCACCAGGUGGUGGCAGGAAUGCCCAUGCCCCCCAAGUGCCAACUGCCCACAGCCAAGGGCCCGACCUUCAGGACCUGCUGUGGGCCUGAGAUUCAUGAGCAGCCCAGCACUCUCCUCACUAGUCAGAGUGGUUCUUGAGGUGAUAGGAAUCGAAUUAUUUAAUUGUAAUCAAUCACAGAGUACUGGCAUUUAUCAGCCUGGAAUUUUUAAAGUUCCAACUUCAAGAAUUUACAACCAUUCCCCUUCCUGUUUUACUUCUACUUCAGCACUGGUCUCCAAGGGGCCAGUUCUGGCAAAAAGCAGGAGCCUGAUUUCUGCAGUCAGAGAUUUCAAGCCCAAUGCCAGAAGCAAAUCUAGAGAACAUGGAUUUAGGUGACCUCCUGCUGUAGAGGGUUAAAAGCGUGAAAGGGCCUUACAUUUUGUUAAGCUUUAAUAAGACAGUUUGGAAUCGCCUCUUAGGCAGUUUCUUAUUCUACUUAGAGCACACACACAGUGGCAUCAGAGGCACAGAUAUUAUACAGUAUUCAUGGUGUUUGAACCUCCAUUCAGGGAUUAGACAUAGAACUCAUCUUC
ensembl:lncRNA